CUCCAUUCACUUUUGGGACCUAUUGGCUGUGACAUGUUCUCUUUCUAGCCAUGGAAGAGCUUUUACUAUUGGAAAAGCUGUUAGCCUUUACAUGAUAUUAGGUUCGAACUUGCACAAGUAACAUUC